rnacentral:rRNA from 1 species
AUUGAACGCUGGCGGCAGGCCUAACACAUGCAAGUCGAACGAGUGGCGGACGGGUGAGUAAUGUCUGGGCACCUGCCUGAUGGAGGGGGAUAACUACUGGAAACGGUAGCUAAUACCGCAUACCAUCGGAUGUGCCCAGAUGGGAUUAGCUAGUUGGUGGGGUAAAGGCUCACCUAGGCGACGAUCCCUAGCUGGUCUGAGAGGAUGACCAGCCACACUGGAACUGAGACAAGGGCCAGACUCCUACGGGAGGCAGCAGGGGGGAAUAUUGCACAAAGGGCGGAAGCCCGAUGCAGCCAUGCCGGGGGUAUGAAGAAGGCCUUCGGGUUGUAAAGUACUUUCAGCUGGGAGGCGUUAACCGCAGAAGAAGCACCGGCUAACUCCGUUCCAGUAGCCGCGGUAAUAC